GACGAACGCUGGCGGCGUGCCUAAUACAUGCAAGUUGAGCGCUGAAGGUUGGUACUUGUACCAACUGGAUGAGCAGCGAACGGGUGAGUAACGCGUGGGGAAUCUGCCUUUGAGCGGGGGGCAACAUUUGGAAACGAAUGCUAAUACCGCAUAAAAACUUUAAACACAAGUUUUAAGUUUGAAAGAUGCAAUUGCAUCACUCAAAGAUGAUCCCGCGUUGUAUUAGCUAGUCGGUGAGGUAAAGGCUCACCAAGGCGAUGAUACAUAGCCGACCUGAGAGGGUGAUCGGCCACAUUGGGACUGAGACACGGCCCAAACUCCUACGGGAGGCAGCAGUAGGGAAUCUUCGGCAAUGGACGAAAGUCUGACCGAGCAACGCCGCGUGAGUGAAGAAGGGUUUCGGAUCGUAAAACUCUGUUGGUAGAGAAGAACGUUGGUGAGAGUGGAAAGCUCAUCAAGUGACGGUAACUACCCAGAAAGGGACGGCUAACUACGUG
rnacentral:rRNA from 1 species